rnacentral:misc_RNA from 1 species
GAUGAAGAACGCAGCGAAAUGCGAAAAGUAAUGUGAAUUGCAGAAUUCAGUGAACCAUCGAAUCUUUGAACGCACAUUGCGCCCGCUGGAACUCCGGCGGGCACGCCUGUCCGAACGUCAUUUCAACCCUCAGGCCCCCCUUCGCGGGCGGGCCUGGUGUUGGGGCCCGGCCGCUACCCUGCGGCCGUCCCCUAAAUUCAGUGGCGGCCUCGCCGUGAUCCCUUGCGUAGUAAUGCACCUCGCACCGGAGAGCGCCGUGGCCACGCCGUAAAACCCCCAAUUUUCAAUGGUUGACCUCGGAUCAGGUGGGAAUACCCGCUGAACUUAAGCAUAUCAAUAAGCGGAGGA